rnacentral:piRNA from 1 species
UAGUAAGGCCUCUUGACUGAGUCAU